GACGAACGCUGACGGCGUGCUUUAGACAUGCAAGUCGAACGAGAAAGCCCUUCGGGGUUAGUAAAGUGGCGAACGGGUGAGUAACACGUGGGCAAUCUGCCCUUCGUAGGGGGACAACCGGGGGAAACCCCGGCUAAUACCCCGUAAGCUUGUCGGGUCGCAUGGCCUGACAAGGAGAGGUAGCUUCGGCCAUCCGGCGAAGGAGGAGCCCGCGGUUCAUUAGCUAGUUGGUGAGGUAACGGCUCACCAAGGCUACGAUGUAUAGCUGGUCUGAGAGGAUGAUCAGCCACACUGGGACUGAGACACGGCCCAGACUCCUACGGGAGGCAGCAGUCGGGAAUCUUGCACAAUGGGCGAAAGCCUGAUGCAGCAACGCCGUGUGAGCGACGAAGGCCUUAGGGUCGUAAAGCUCUGUUGUUAGGGACGAAGGGCGAAGGGUUAAUAGCCCUUAGCCUGACGGUACCUUUCGAGGAAGCCCCGGCUAACUACGUGCCAGCAGCCGCAGUAA
rnacentral:rRNA from 1 species